UUUGAUCCUGGCUCAGGACGAACGCUGGCGGCGUGCCUAAUACAUGCAAGUCGAACGAACUCUGGUAUUAAUUGAUGCUUGCAUCAUGAUUUACAUUUGAGUGAGUGGCGAACUGGUGAGUAACACGUGGGAAACCUGCCCAGAAGCGGGGGAUAACACCUGGAAACAGAUGCUAAUACCGCAUAACAACUUGGACCGCAUGGUCCGAGUUUGAAAGAUGGCUUCGGCUAUCACUUUUGGAUGGUCCCGCGGCGUAUUAGCUAGAUGGUGGGGUAACGGCUCACCAUGGCAAUGAUACGUAGCCGACCUGAGAGGGUAAUCGGCCACAUUGGGACUGAGACACGGCCCAAACUCCUACGGGAGGCAGCAGUAGGGAAUCUUCCACAAUGGACGAAAGUCUGAUGGAGCAACGCCGCGUGAGUGAAGAAGGGUUUCGGCUCGUAAAACUCUGUUGUUAAAGAAGAACAUAUCUGAGAGUAACUGUUCAGGUAUUGACGGUAUUUAACCAGAAAGCCACGGCUAACUACGUGCCAGCAGCCGCGGUAAUACGUAGGUGGCAAGCGUUGUCCGGAUUUAUUGGGCGUAAAGCGAGCGCAGGCGGUUUUUUAAGUCUGAUGUGAAAGCCUUCGGCUCAACCGAAGAAGUGCAUCGGAAACUGGGAGACUUGAGUGCAGAAGAGGACAGUGGAACUCCAUGUGUAGCGGUGAAAUGCGUAGAUAUAUGGAAGAACACCAGUGGCGAAGGCGGCUGUCUGGUCUGUAACUGACGCUGAGGCUCGAAAGUAUGGGU
rnacentral:rRNA from 1 species